UUAAGGGAGACCUCCCACUUAAGAGUGAAAGCUUCGUAGGUUAAUCCUGCAAUGUUACUAGUUUUUUAAGUCGGUCAACCAGGUCGUUCGAGAUUAAGUGUUUGACUCUCAAACUAUUUAGGUUUGGAGUAUGGGCUAUUAGCUCAGGUGGUUAGAGCGCACCCCUGAUAAGGGUGAGGUCCCUGGUUCGAGUCCAGGAUGGCCCACCUUUCAGAUCAGAAGCCACGAAUCGAGAAUUCAGUACAGGUUGAAGAGAUUCAUAUCUCAUAUCUGGAUUGGUAGCUUGAGGAUGGAUUCUGUCCUUGGGGGUUUAGCUCAGUUGGUAGAGCGCCUGCUUUGCAAGCAGGAUGUCAGCGGUUCGAGUCCGCUAACCUCCACUGAAAUUGAAUUUCAGCAACCUAGCUAGAUGAUGUCUAGUAGGACUGCUGGAGCUUCUCCAGUAAGAACCUUGAAAACUGCAUAGCAACUUGUCAGGUAGAAACAUGGACUGUGUUUUUAAGUAAAUAGAGAUUGAUUAACUUCAUUCUUUGGAACUUGAAAUCACUUUUCAGAAAUCACAGACACCAAAACGACUUUAGU
rnacentral:tRNA from 1 species